rnacentral:rRNA from 1 species
AUUGAACGCUGGCGGCAGGCUUAACACAUGCAAGUCGAGCGGAGUGAUGGUGCUUGCACCAUCACUUAGCGGCGGACGGGUGAGUAAUGCUUAGGAAUCUGCCAUUUAGUGGGGGACAACAUUCCGAAAGGAUGCUAAUACCGCAUACGUCCUACGGGAGAAAGCAGGGGAUCUUCGGACCUUGCGCUAAAUGAUGAGCCUAAGUCGGAUUAGCUAGUUGGUGGGGUAAAGGCCUACCAAGGCGACGAUCUGUAGCGGGUCUGAGAGGAUGAUCCGCCACACUGGGACUGAGACACGGCCCAGACUCCUACGGGAGGCAGCAGUGGGGAAUAUUGGACAAUGGGCGGAAGCCUGAUCCAGCCAUGCCGCGUGUGUGAAGAAGGCCUUUUGGUUGUAAAGCACUUUAAGCGAGGAGGAGGCUCUCCUAGUUAAUACCUAGGAAGAGUGGACGUUACUCGCAGAAUAAGCACCGGCUAACUCUGUGCCAGCCGCCGCCGUAAUAC